rnacentral:rRNA from 1 species
CCUACGGGAGGCAGCAGUGAGGAAUAUUGGUCAAUGGACGCGAGUCUGAACCAGCCAAGUAGCGUGAAGGAUGACUGCCCUAUGGGUUGUAAACUUCUUUUAUAUGGGAAUAAACUGUUCCACGUGUGGGAUUUUGUAUGUACCAUAUGAAUAAGGAUCGGCUAACUCCGUGCCAGCAGCCGCGGUAAUACGGAGGAUCCGAGCGUUAUCCGGAUUUAUUGGGUUUAAAGGGUGCGUAGGUGGAUUGAUAAGUCAGUUGUGAAAGUUUGCGGCUCAACCGUAAAAUUGCAGUUGAUACUGGCAGUCUUGAGUACAGUAGAGGUAGGCGGAAUGCGUGGUGUAGCGGUGAAAUGCUUAGAGAUCACGAAGAACUCCGAUUGCGAAGGCAGUUCACUGAACUGCAACUGACACUGAGGCUCGAAAGUGUGGGUAUCAAACAGGAUUAGAUACCCGAGUAGUC